UGUUUUGUUUUGUUUGUCAGAUCUGCAGGGAAGGCAGUUCAACCCUAGAUGUGGAGUUCCGAGAGCUGGUUAAAAUGGAUCAGUCUAUGGUGCACCUCUGGGUGAAAACAGAACCCUUCAUUGUGGGGGCUUUGCAGAUCCCCCCUCCAUCCAAGUUCAGCAUGCACUAUCUCCGGAAGAUGUCCACGUAUGUCCGGACGCGGGCCAGCGAGGGCUGUUAUCCACGCCUUUUCUGGCCUAUGUGGCGGCACAUUGCCUGUGGGAAGCUGCAGUUAGCCAAGGAUUUGGCCUGGCUCUACUUUGAGAUAUUUGACAGUCUAGUGGAACGGACUCCAGAGGAACAUCUGGAAUGGGCAGAGGUGGUAUCCAGCUGCAAGUCAGAAGAGGAAUUAGAGAAGCAGAGGAAUAAGCUGUCAGUAGACUCUCUGCAGUUCCUGCUGUUCUUGUACAUUCAGCAGCUAAACAAGGUUUCCUUGCGGACAUCUCUGAUUGGAGAAGAGUGGCCAAGUCCCAGGGACAAAUCUCAGUCUGCCAACCUGACUGGAAAAUCCACCUGUCAAAAUAAGAACUGGAAUGAUUACACCCACCAAGUGUUUGUGCAGAACCACCUGUUGGAUCUGCUGGAACUGCUACUGGACCCGGACCAGCUCACGGCCUCUUCCCAUUCCACUCACAGUAGCUUGGUCUCCCCUGAAGCUGUUCGAGCUCUCAGCUUUCUCAUUGAGGGGACCGUGAACAAAACCAGGACUGUCCAUCCUCUUCAUGAGCUUGCUCUCUGGCAGCCCUUGCAUGCAAAGAACGGCUACUCGAAGAUUUCCAAAGCCUUCUCUUUCCCCAAGCUAGAGGCCUGGCUGAGGGCCUGCCUGACUGGGAGCCCGUUUGGGACGUCUGCCUGCCUCAAGUCUGGGAAGAAACUUGCGUGGGCGCAGCAAGUUGAAGGAACAACCAAGAGAGCAAAGAUUGCGUGCAAUGCCCAUAUGGUCCCUGAGGUUCACCGCAUGGUGGUGAUGAGCCAAGUCUACAAACAGACGCUGGCCAAGAGCUCGGAUACCCUGGUGGGUGCUCAUGUGAAGAUCCAUCGCUGCAAUGAGUCCUUCAUAUAUCUGCUCUCUCCUUUACGAUCUGUGACCAUUGAGAAGUGCAGGAAUAGCACUUUUGUCCUGGGCCCUGUGCAGACAGCCAUUCACCUCCACAGCUGUGAUAAUGUCAAAGUCAUUGGCAUCUGCCACCGUUUGUCUAUCUCUUCUACGACAGGCUGCACCUUCAACAUUCUCACGCCUACACACCCUCUCAUUCUUUUGGGUAACCAAGCAGUAACUUUUGCCCCUUAUCACACCCAUUACCCAAUGCUUGAGGACCACAUGGCCCGGAUGGGCCUGGCUACAGUGCCUAACUACUGGGACAGUCCAAUGCUGGUGUGCAAAGAGAACAGUGAUGCCAGUGUCUUCCGACUCUUACCCCCCAAUGAGUUUUAUACAUUUGUUAUUCCUUUUGAGAUGGAAGGAGACACGACAGAAACGCCUGGGGGGCUGCCACAUGCAUACCAGAAGGCACUGAGUCAACGAGAGCAGAAGAUACAGGUUUGGCAAAAAACUGUGAAAGAGGCAGGGCUGACGAAGGAUCAGAGGAAGCAGUUCCAGGUGCUGGUGGAGAACAAAUUCUAUGAAUGGCUAAUUCACACAGGACAUCGUCAGCAGCUGGACAGCCUCGUGCCUCCUGCAGCAGGCUCCAAGCAAGCAGCAGGAUAGGAUGCUCUUCUUUAACAGAAGGAAAGGAAGGAGUUGUGAAGAUGGAUGGUGACAAGCUGACGGUGGUUUCCAGUGAAUACUUUGAGGCCAUGCUGGUUAGACAUUCCCAUGGUGUUGCAAAUUAAUGAGGAUAUCUGGACCUCCGCAUCAGCAUGAGCUGGACACUUUUUUGUCCUGUUCAAGACAUCACUGCAUCACCUUGCUCCUUUCCAGGACCUGGGAUACAUCAACUCCAGCUGGCUUCAGGAGGAAACCAGAUGAAGGAUUGCGUGAUCACUUUCUACGAAGAAAAGCAUUUCCAGGGCCGUCGCUAUGAGUGUGACAGUGACUGCCCUGAUUUUCACACCUACCUAAGCCGCUGCAACUCCAUCCGAGUGGAGGGGGGUGCCUGGGUUGUCUAUGAGCGGCCUAACUUUGCAGGGAACAUGUUCGUUCUGACCCAUGGCGAGUACCCCGAGUACCAGCGCUGGAUGGGCCUUAAUGACCGCCUCAGCUCAUGCAAAGCCAUUCACUUAAGAUUCAAAGUAUGUUUGGAGAUACGAGACAGCAUGCUGCCUGCUUUCCCCAUUGACUCAGCUGGACACAGGCUCCAUCCCUUUCACUCAGUCAAACUUCCAGCUGCCUCAUGACGUGUGUGUGGCCUGCAUGGAUAGAGCUCGCUGUCUGUAGCAGGGGCUGGGAAGGACAGUGAGGAUGUUAAAUAAAGCCAAUUGCGUUUUGAUACAAGACUUUUAGUAGAGGCCAGAGUCCCCUACUCGUAGAGGGCAGAGUCCCCUUUUCCCCAUGCUGGAGGCAGAAAGGAGCAUGAAAUGGGUGGAAAUGGCUCCUAAGAACAGCCCCAGCUCACGGAGCGCUGUUCUUGCUUCUCAGGAACUUUAGCAGAGCAUGGGGAGCAGUCCCUCAACUGCCCAAGACUAGAGAGUACAAAAGGGGAAUUUUAAGCACAGUCUCACCUCAGGCACCUGCACUAAAUGCAGGAACAUUGGAUCUAAGAUUUCUCAUUCUACCAUGGUUGCAAAUUGCUCCAUCCAAGCAUUUAAGUAGCUCCUGCUAGCACUCGCAGAGCACAGGGCCUGGCCUUUGGAAUACUGGCGGUGCCCCUGCUUCACUGAGGAAUCCAUGCUUACCCACUCUUACACAGGAGUGGAAGUGAGCUCUAUCCUGCAGCUUGUGCUGGCACCAGCUCACCUUGUGGGCAACCUGCUGAGUCAGCAAGGGGCAGAGAACGCUCAAUAGUGGUGUGAAAGAAACAGCUGACACAAGGUGGAUGGGAAGGCUGGUUCCCUUCCAGAAGUUUAGAGGAAGGGAAUGUGGGGUAGCCUGGCACUUAGGCUGGCAGGGUGUGACAGGGUAAUUAAGGUGUCUACCCCGGAGUACAGGCAAAUGGGACCCUAAGUGAAGUGCAGGCAGUUUUCCCAGGGCAUCCCCGUUCCUCAGUCUAUGCUGAAAGCUCCCAUGGCUAUCAAAGGAGAGCACAGAGCUUGGCUGGCUUUUUUGCCCUUCUGGCACGAGGAACCCAUUGCCAUGACUAGGCUGUGAAGAGCAGGGAAGCUUUCAUCUGCCGCUGGCAUUCAUGUUACCCUCUCCACUGGCAGGGAAUAAAAGCCAGGAGCAUCAAAAGUACAGGCCAAAGCUGAUUUUGAAAGGGAUGCAGCUCAGCAGUGUUUCACUGAUGGUAUAGAGGACCCCUUUGCAGCGUCCUGCAUGUGUUGGUUGGAAAUGUUUUUAUCUGAUCAAAUGCUGCUUUGUAGCUCUGUAGUUCAGCUGCCCUAUAAACUAUUAAGUAUGGAAUAAAGAACAUCCCUAAAAACGCAGGUCACGGAGCAGGUGCGGGGGCCAUGGCAAUCAGUGUGCUUAACAGUGAUGCCCUGUAGCAACCAAUAACUGUAAACUAAGAGAUGAUAAACCAGUGUCCAGCCAGCUAGUGCCUAGAGCAUUGCCCCUGCCAGAGGAGGGAAAUCUAACCCAUUAAAUACUGCAUGCCUCCAUCUUCCAGAGGCAGGACUGGGGCAUGAGCAGCUGCUCCAGCAUUCUCUAGCCAGAGCAUACCUUCUUCUAGGGGGCUCUGGAACAGCUGGGUAGGCCCCGAGGACAGCACCUCCCCUACCACUGGUCUCAAAGAGCUGCCCCUUCCCGCUUGCUUUAACAGUGGUGGAGACCUGCUGAUAUUCUAUAAUUAAACACUGGGUGGAAGUAUUUAACUUGUAAUUCUGACUAUUAACCCAGUCGGCUGCGACCUGGUUUAGAGUCUUUGGCCUCCCGUGCUGCCUUCAUCAAUGCCAAGGCCUCGUAGCGGUAUGUGACUGCCUUCAACUGUGAUCAGUGCUUGAAAGAGCCAGCUGAUGGGGGCACUCAGCUAGGGGGUCAUUAGAUGAGUGUGAGCUAUGGGAAACUUCCCCACAUGGGCAUGGGACUCCAGUGCAUCCAAGGCAGCAGUGAAGCGUUCCUUUCCGGUGGGGAGGGCAAGAGGAACAGGCUGCCCUGAGGAGAGGCAAUUCAUCACCCCUAUGGGAAAUGGUGGCAUUCAGGCUGGUGCUGGUAACAGACCAGGGAGGGAGGGAUGAGGUGGGCCAGGUUGCACAGGAAGCUGGGAAUUAACACUCUUGUAGCGCUUAAGGCUAUUCAGUGCUUGAAAUCUCAGCAAAUAUAAUGCCUUGUACACGUGAAAUGCGAGUACAGGUUGUCACCAUCUCAUUGACUCCUUACUGCCCUGGGC